ACGAAGUCUUCGGACUGAGUGGCAGACGGGUGAGUAACACGUGAGAACCUGCCUUAAGGUCGGGGAUAACGGUUGGAAACGACUGCUAAUACCGGAUGUGCCUACGGGUGAAAGAUUUAUUGCCUAAAGAUGGGCUCGCGUCUGAUUAGCUAGUUGGAGUGGUAAUGGCACACCGAGGCGACGACCAGUAGCUGGUCUGAGAGGAUGAUCAGCCACACUGGGACUGAGACACGGCCCAGACUCCUACGGGAGGCAGCAGUGGGGAAUUUUCCGCAAUGGGCGAAAGCCUGACGGAGCAAGACCGCGUGAGGGAGGAAGGCUCUUGGGUUGUAAACCUCUUUUGUCAGGGAAGAACACAAUGACGGUACCUGACGAAUCAGCAUCGGCUAACUCCGUGCCAGCAGCCGCGGUAAUACGGAGGAUGCAAGCGUUAUCCGGAAUUAUUGGGCGUAAAGCGUCCGCAGGUGGUUGUACAAGUCUGCUGUCAAAGCGCGGAGCUUAACUCCGUAAAGGCGGUGGAAACUGUGCGACUAGAGUUCGGUAGGGGUCGCGGGAAUUCCCAGUGUAGCGGUGAAAUGCGUAGAUAUUGGGAAGAACACCGGUGGCGAAAGCGCGCGACUGGACCGAGACUGACACUCAUGGACGAAAGCUAGGGGAGCGAAAGGGAUUAGAUACCCCUGUAGUCCUAGCCGUA
rnacentral:rRNA from 1 species